GGAAGUGGGAGAGGCCUGGGAAGGAAACUUGGAAACCGAAAACUCGGCGGCCGAGGCUCCGUGCCCCGCGCGCAGCGCUGCUCCUGCCCCGGCCAAGGACGCACGGGCCAGCCGGCGGAACCAGAGGUUUUCAGUGAUGUUGAGAGUCAACAGGAAAUUAAUCAGCAAGUAGAAAAUUGAAAGAAGAUCUGCAUCUUACUGCAGGAGUCAUUAAAAUAAAAGCAGAUUUGGCAAAAUGGCAAGACACAAUGGCAAUGAAUGGACCACACCAAAUCUACAGUGAAUAUGCAGCAAGAGACCUGAGCCAAGUAACCCCAGCACAGUCUGAGAUGUGCAAGGCAGAAGCAAAUUUAAGGAGAAUGAAACGGAAAGCAAGGCCCAAUUAAAAUCCAAAUGAACAGGAAGCACGAUGCAAAAGCAAACUUGGAAAAAGCCAAGGCGAGAGAGGAACACUUUGGAAGAAGCACAGUUAUGGCAAAGGAGCUAUCCUGUACCAACACGAAGGAGAGAGUGGUAAAGGACCCCACAGAAAUGGAGGGAAUGAUAUUGACACAAAAAUGGCAACAAGAUCUAACUCCAGCGUCAAACUGAAGUAACAGCAGCUGCAGCAACUAAGUCCAUCAGAAUGCAAUGCUAAAUGGCACAGGAGAGCUCAGAGCUGCAUAAAGUACAAGGAGCUAUCAGCCAGAAGAACAACUGCUGGGAGGACAGAUUUUGCACUUCUCCUUGUCAUCUUUUCUUGAACCCAAUGUCAAGAUUAUUCCAAGUCACUUUAAAAAAUAUGGACCAAGAUUAUGGCAGCCUUGGAAGACCUUAUUUUGGACUUUAGCCCCCUGACAUUUGAUUACUCUAUUCAUCUAGACCAGUCCUAAAGAUUUCAUGGGCACCUUAGCCAACUUCAGAUCUUUACUGCACAGUUCAGUAAGGACCCCUAGGUCCACUCCAGGUAGGGUGGUGGGAAAAAAAAGAUCCUAUAGUUGCCCCAUAGUGAUCCAAGUCUUAAGCCAGAUCUCGGAUGAAUAUGGACUACAAGACCAUGACCACACCUCACAGCUGCCCAUCUCAACUGGCCUAAAGGACACGUGUAGGCUUUUAUUCUGUAAUGUACAGCAUUAUUUGAAUUUAUCAUCUGGCCAAAAUGUAGGCAUAUACUGAAAAUUAAUGUGAGCCCUUCAUCACAAUUGAGCUAGUAUCAACACAGUCAUGCAGACGAAAAGGAAAGAAAAUGCACUCUAAGAAACAGAGGGACUCUGUCCAAAGUUUGGUUCUGCCCCCUCUCAGGUGUGUGAUCCUAAGCAGGUUACUCUCUAAGCAAGAAACUUACCUGCCAUGAGGAUACAUGAGAUAAUGCAGGUGACACACCUGGUUUGUAGUAGGUAUGCUCAUCGACUUUAACUAUGAUUAUAUCAUUGCACAAAACAAGCCUUACAUGGUUUUAUAGUACAUGCAAAUGAGCUUCCAGGGAGCAUGUUUCUCUAAGCCAAUUUUUAUUUUUUCCCUUAUCAUCCAACUCUCCAUCCUUUCCCACCCUUUUCUCAUUAUUACCAAUUAGACACAGUUUUCAGCAACAAUUUCUUAGCAUGUACUUCCUCCCUUGAAUAAAAUUACAAAUUAAGACCUGCCUAAGGUGACCUCUUUGUCCCUAGUUCAUCCUCAUAAGAUUGUUUCCAAAUAGCUCUAAGCUAGACUCUCAGAACAGAGAGCCAUCUACAGAGAGAGCAAAUAUCAGCUUAGCUGUAGAUUUCCCCAGGAAUGCUGGAGGAGGGGUAGAAGAUAGUAGAAGAUGUUAAACAGGCAGUGAGGAGACUUGGGGGCCAGAGUCCUAGAUCCACACUUAGUAGUUGUGUGACCCUGUGCGCACUCACCUCAGUUUAUUCCCUGGUAAAUUGGAGCUAACAAAGCCUGCUUUGCUUACCUCCUGUGGCCUCUCUCAUGGGCUUACUAAAAGGAUCCAACAUAACAGACUUGCUCCAAAUGUAGUAGGGAUAGCAAUUUGUAUGAUGUGAGAUGAUUUUGCACAAUCCAGUUUUUAUCUACUUUUUAAUUCUAUAUAAAAUGAUUUAUUUGUUCUUAUGUGUAUUAGGAAAAAAUAUAACUAGCACAUAAAACUCAUGAUUUUA
ensembl:lncRNA OSMR-DT OSMR divergent transcript